rnacentral:rRNA from 1 species
ACCUGCGGAGGGAUCAUUACACAAUACAAUAUGAAGGCUGUCCGCAGCUGGAGUAUUUUAUUACCCUUGUCUUUUGCGCACUUGUUGUUUCCUGGGCGGGUUCGCUCGCCACCAGGACCACCAAAUAAACCUUUUUUAUGCAGUUGCAAUCAGCGUCAGUACAAACAAUGUAAAUCAUUUACAACUUUCAACAACGGAUCUCUUGGUUCUGGCAUCGAUGAAGAACGCAGCGAAAUGCGAUACGUAGUGUGAAUUGCAGAAUUCAGUGAAUCAUCGAAUCUUUGAACGCACAUUGCGCCCUUUGGUAUUCCAAAGGGCAUGCCUGUUCGAGCGUCAUUUGUACCCUCAAGCUUUGCUUGGUGUUGGGCGUUUUUGUCUUUGGUCGCCCAAAGACUCGCCUUAAAGUGAUUGGCAGCCGGCCUUUCUGGUUUCGCAGCGCAGCACAUUUUUGCGCUUGCCAUCAGCAAAACGGCAAUCCAUCAAGCCUCCUUCUCACGUUUGACCUCGGAUCAGGUAGGGAUACCCGCUGAACUUAAGCAUAUCA